rnacentral:rRNA from 1 species
CAUGAAGCUGGAUUCGCUAGUAAUCGCGCAUCAGCCACGGCGCGGUGAAUACGUUCCCGGGCCUUGUACACACCGCCCGUCAAGCCAUGGGAGCCGGGGGUACCUGAAGUGCGUGACCGCAAGGAGCGCCCUAAGGUAAAACCGGUGACUGGGGCUAAGUCGUAACAAGGUAAC